AGAGUUUGAUCCUGGCUCAGAACGAACGUUGGCGGCGUGCCUAACACAUGCAAGUCGAACGGAGUGAAGGAGCUUGCUCUUUCAUUUAGUGGCGCACGGGUGAGUAACGCGUAGAUAAUCUGCCUUGGACUCUGGGAUAACAUCUCGAAAGGGGUGCUAAUACCGGAUAAGCCCACGAUGGCGUAAGUCAUUGCGGGAAAAGGGGGCCUCUGAAUAUGCUCCUGAUUCAAGAUGAGUCUGCGUACCAUUAGCUAGUUGGUAGGGUAAGAGCCUACCAAGGCGACGAUGGUUAGCUGGUCUGAGAGGAUGAUCAGCCACACUGGAACUGAGACACGGUCCAGACUCCUACGGGAGGCAGCAGUGGGGAAUUUUGCGCAAUGGGGGAAACCCUGACGCAGCAACGCCGCGUGAGUGAUGAAGGC
rnacentral:rRNA from 1 species